UAUUAAGAUUUUGACGAGGAUAAUCUUAACCAAACGAUCUCAACGCAGUGAGAACAAACAGAAUCCGAUCAUAGGGGAGUUUCGAGAGAGAGGAAACUGACUUCCUCUUGAUAUCAUGUUCAUCGUCUACAUCCCUCUCCUCCAUCUCUGCCGUCUCGCUUUCGCUUUGAGUCCUUCCUCUGCUUUGAUUCCCAUCGCAAUACUCACUAUGAUAUAUUUCCAUGGCACUUAACUGAUAACGUUAAAGAAGGAAGCUUGGUUGACUUACAUCAGUUUCAACCACAGGAAGGCUAAUUCCACUUAGAUCUCUUGGCCAACUCCAUCCCUCCUUUCAAGAAUCGAGCAAAGAGCGAUGUAUCGUUCCAGAAGCUCCUGUUCGAGCUCAAAAGUUGCGCCAAGGUAUCAGAGAUUCUUGAGGAACUGAAUAAAGAUCCAGAGAGGCAUGGUGGGCCACCAGAUUGCAUUUGCAAGUUAAAAAGCUAUUUCAUUGACAGACUAAAUUGCUUGUGUCGGGCUUUGUUGUUCAUGGAUAUGUAUUGAUUGGUUCAAAGCUCAUGUUGUGUUGAAUCAAGUAUUAACUGUGGUUGUCUAUCAGUGCAAGUCUAUAGGAAGGAAUCUAAUUAAUGAUGUAACGAAUAUAAAAACAUAAGCUUUCAAUGUUCUAAAGCUUCUCCUUUUGUUGCAGUAAUUGCGCAGAGAGUGAUACAACUGUUCCAGAUUCUCCUGCUCGAGCUGAAAAGUUUGCUGAAAGUUGGAACCUCUUAAGAUAUGGGGAGAUUCUUGAGGACUUGAAGAAUGAUUCGAAGAGCCAUGGGGAGAUUCUUGAAAACUUUUCUCUUACCAAGCUACCUAUAUCUUUCUCUUAGCAUUAUCUCUUUAAAGUCUAUCUUAAAAACACAAGCUGAUAUUUGAGUGCUAUCUUAUUUCAACUUGUGACAGGCAUAUUCCCUUUCACUGGAAGUAGCCAAAUUCAGACUAUGCACGCUCUUCCUCACAGGUUUCUGUAUUAGAUAGAUGUAUAAACUAACACAUUCUCAAUAUAUUUGACUGACAGCUGCUCCAAAAAUUAUUUAAAUAACCUUGAUUACAUUUUGGAUUGUAUAUAUUUCUGUAAGAAGUUACUGCAAGUCUGUACCUUAAAGCAAAUACACAUGAAAAUUCUUCACGUCUAUAUAAUACAUUUAUACUAAACGAAAUUCAAUGAAAUAAAUAUAUAAUCAGAAACUACAGAAACAAUAACAAUUUGAAACAAUUAUCUGGAUGACAAACAUGUAAACUAUAACAUUAUUAUGUUUGAGAAAGUCUUAUUAACAUUUGAAAACAUGGUUAGUGUUAAGAAAAUAUGUCGUUAAUGAUCUAGAAACAAAAUUUCUAUGUACAUAAGAGUAUAAAUAUAAAUUAACCAUUGAAAACAUUUUAAUUACAACCAAUAGCACUCUUUUUUUCACUCUUAACCUUAAUUAAUUUUAAGCAUAAUAAAUAUCAGUUUCCAUAAAAAUAUAUAUUCAAUAUUUCUUAAAAUUUAGCUACCAAAUUUAUUUAAAAGAUUGCAACAUUCUAUUUACUAAAAAAUGUCUAAAAUCUAAAAUUCAACUUUGCAUAAAUGAAUAAAUUAGUGUAUAAAUAAAUUUUAAAAUGAAAUUCAUUUAAACUAUAAAAGAUUAAAAUCAUUUUUUACAUUUUGAGGUAGAUUUUAAAAUUAAUAAAAUUUAAUCUAACUUAUAUCUUAAAUUGUAAUAAUAUAUUUAAGAGUUUUUUAUAUAAAUUAAAUAUGAAUAAUAGUUACGCGGAACACGGAUCAAAAUGUAUAAUACACGUACACUAUUUUGUUUCCAACUCUAGAGCUAUAAAAUUCAUGUUCGUAAGAUAUGAGAAAUACAAUUGACAAUUUAAAAAAAUAAAUUAAAUUUACAAAUGCAAAUAGUACUAUUAUUAUGUUUGGAAAUAUUUAAAUUUACAAUUUGUUAUAUACUACUGUUAAUUUAUUCACUAUUAGUUAUAUAAAACAAGUAGCUGUGAAUAAAAAUGAAACAUAUACCCGUGCGGACGCACGGAUCAGAGUCUAGUUUGUUUUAAAUACAAUGACAUAAGUUGUAAUUAUUUUCAAAAGGUACUUCAAUUUUAAUAGUUAGAUUAGAUAUUAGAUUGUCAAGUAUAUUUAUAAAAUAAAAAAAGUGAUCUCACAAAUUAAAAAGUCCAAAAACUAAACACAUUGAAAAGGGACAUAAAUCUCAAAACUCAGAAACAUACGAAUCUACAACAGGAACACAAAUAAUCAAUUUGUUAGCAUUCUCAAAAGUUAAAAACAUAUAAGAAUGAAAAAAAAAUUCGUGCAUCAGAGUGAGUCAAAAUCUAGUUAGGUUAUAUCUGUAAACUUGAGAAUGAUUUUGUACCUAAUGAAGUUAUAUGCCAAACUUUAAUUUGUUGAAAAUAGCCAAGUUCCAUAUAAAAUUUCCAUUUCUUUUUGGGUAAUCAUCAAUAUAUUUUCGAUGACUUAUAACAAACACCAAACUCAGUAGAGUAAAAUAGUGCCAAAAGAAAUCAAACUCUACAUAAAACAAGAAAUAUUAAUCAACCACGUGACUUUGAUAUGAAAGCACAAGUAGUAUAUUGCAUCUAACACCAAACUUAGUAGUAGUUUUUUUUUUUUUUUUGCUAAAAACCAAACUUAGUAGUUGUUAACAAAAACAAACAAACGCACAUACACACCAAACUCAUCAAUUAAAACAUAUUCAAAAGAAAUCAACCUCUACACAUAUCAAGAAAACGUUAAUCAUAUCAAACCCAUAUGCCCUAAGUAUCUAGUAAUGAAACUUAAUUAGACAUUUCAAUGGUUAACUCUCCUACAGAUCCUCCGGAUCUCACCAUUUCUCCCCGUCAACGGCGAGAUGUUUCCCAUCUUCACCUUUGACUUUGCGUACUGCUCAAAGAACAAUUCCUCAUUAGCCCCGUAAAGCUUGACCAGCUCCAUGGAGUCUCCACUCUUUGUGUACAAAAUCUCAUCAGAGCUCAAGAGUCCUUUAAAAGUCAUCAGAUUCUUGAAGUAGUAGUUAUCAAACUUAUUUGGCGUCAUAUAGUCGAGAGCAAAGAGGUUCUGGUCGUCACCAGAAAUAGGACAUCCCUGCUGCAACAUUGAGGCGUAGUUUUGAUUCAAAGUCUGGUCGAGAUCGCUGUUUCCAGAAUGGUUGUAUAGCCUUUGUCGGAAGCUCUUGCACCUCGAAUUUCCUAUCGUAUGACGUCCUACAUUCAAAUCAUAGCUUUUAAUUCUAAAAUCUACAAUACUAUUAGUAUGUAAUGCUUCAGGCAAUUUGACAGAACGUAUGAGACAUUAUGUUGAAAAAGAGACAAAAUGUGCCAUUUAUUUUGCCACAAUAAAGAAAGCUAUAUAUACAUAUUAUAUAGCUUUUUCCAAAUUAACAAAAA